AACUGAUACUACCUGCGGGAACCUGCGGAAGGAUCAUUAACGUUGGGGACUAACAAUCCCUCAGCGAGAUAGAACCCUUGCCUUUUCGAGUACCACACGUUUCCUCGGCAGGUACGCCUGCCAAUGGGGACCACAACAAAACCUUUUGUAAUAGCAGUAAACGUCUUAAAAACAAAACUUUUAAAACUUUCAACAAUGGAUCUCU
rnacentral:misc_RNA from 1 species